GAUGAACAGGCAGAAUCAUGCAGAGUGAAAAGCAGUUUCCCGAAACAGAAAAAGGAUAUUCAAGUGGCAUAUGAAAGCAGAACACCUGCCCUACCUCCAGAUCCGGCAUUACAAGCACCUUGUAAGAUACCACAGCCACCACUUUCAGACUGCUGGGUAAAAGCAAGUGGUUUCCUGAGAGUCUGUCCAUUUACAGCAAGAAGUAAAAAAAGGUUCUGAGAAGAAGUGAGGAGAAGCUAACAGCUGAGCAUGACUUCCAGAAGACAGUGUGGACAGGUUUCAGGUGAGUGGAUGGGAAAAGGGAUACCGUAGAGAUGACUGAGAAUAAGAAUCCAGGAAGAUCAGCACUGAUUGGGAGCUCCAGGCUCCUUGUGAGGUUUGAUGCACAUGAGAGAAUGGCAAAAGCAGAUUUGCCUUGAAGUUCUCAAUGCAAGCAAUGAGGAGAAGGCUGGGAGUGUUGCAGGGCGCUGAGCGUGGAGUCUUGCUGGGAGUGUUCUGAGGCUUCCUCUUUAUUCCUGACAGUGGUGAAGUGGGGCCAUAGAUGGCAUAGUCUUUAUCCUGACUACUUGGAAAUCUGGGAGAGGUGUAGAGACCAGGCGAGGUUCGUCUUUUUCAGCUGAUGUGUGGGUGGCUCUUCAGAGCAGAUUUGAAAGUGUGCAAUGGAAAAUGGUGUUGGAAACGAGUUGAGUAGAUGAGUCAAUGCAACUCUAAUUUUAAUGCCCCAAACCAUGCCCAGCUCAAAAGUCACAGGGUGGUCAUAACAGUUCCACUUUUCUACUCCUGUCAUCAUUAAGCCUCAAAUAAAUAAAAGAAGGGGCCUGUCUCAACAUAUCAAAAGCUGCUGAAUUGUGUCCAUUUAUCCUUUCACUGUUGUGAGA
rnacentral:lncRNA from 1 species